CUGGCUCAGGAUGAACGCUAGCGGCAGGCUUAACACAUGCAAGUCGAGGGGCAGCGGGAUGUAGCAAUACAUUGCCGGCGACCGGCGGAUGGGUGCGUAACGCGUAUGCAACCUACCUUAUACAGGGGAAUAACCUUUCGAAAGGGAGACUAACACCCCAUAGUAUUGAUUUAAGGCAUCUUAGAUUAAUUAAAUAUUUAUAGGUAUAAGAUGGGCAUGCGUAUGAUUAGCUAGUUGGUAAGGUAACGGCUUACCAAGGCGACGAUCAUUAGGGGUUCUGAGAGGAAGGUCCCCCACACUGGUACUGAGACACGGACCAGACUCCUACGGGAGGCAGCAGUGAGGAAUAUUGGUCAAUGGGCGCAAGCCUGAACCAGCCAUGCCGCGUGCAGGAAAGACGGCCUUAUGGGUUGUAAACUGCUUUUACAUAAGACUAACCGUAUAUUUGCGAAUAUACCUGAAUGUAUUAUGAGAAUAAGGAUCGGCUAACUCCGUGCCAGCCGCUGC
rnacentral:rRNA from 1 species